GUUGAGAACUGUUCUGCGCAUGUGUCCUGGGAUUACUAGAUUGCGCCUACUUUGUCAUCCAGUUUUAGCCAUACCCUACCUUCCUACCUCAGUAGGAUAUGAUUUGGUGAUUCUAUAUGCUAACCUGUAGAGGAGAGUCUGUAUUAGGAAAGACGUGGAGAAGAACCAUGCGUUCUCCCUCUGCUAUGCAUUAGAACUCUAGGAAGAAAGUGACAAAUUCAAAGAUGGAGAUAGAAUGAAGCUAAAGAACAAUCACUUGCCUGAGGCCAUUUGAGGAAAAAAACCAAGAAGGGCCUAGAACAGUGCCUGGCACAUAAUGUGCAGUAAAUAUUUAUUGAAUGGAUGAAGGAAUACAUGAACACUUUCACUUCACCACUAGAGCAUGGACAUCUUGCUGAUGAUAGAAUCUGGAUGUUGCACUUGCUAGUGCUCUCUUUAUAGCUGUGGACAGAUGUGAACAGUCCAUUGCCAUGGACUCCUUAGACUAUUUUGGCAUUUGACAGAGCAACAGUUUCACUGUCUGUGUGUGAUUUCAGAGGAAAACAAGACCUAAAAGAAAGAUUUCAUGAAAAAUACAUCAUCAUAACAUUGAUGUAUGGACCCUGUAACAUCCAAUUUCUUAAAGGCAUCUGUAGCUACUAAGGAUGCUGGUCAUGCCCUCAUCAACACACGGACAAUAUAAAUGAGAUGAUGCUUCAUGGAACAUAAUGCACACAGAUGCUUUUCUAAAAUAUACUCACAUCUUCGAAAAUAAAAUGAUUUGGC
rnacentral:lncRNA from 1 species